rnacentral:sRNA from 3 species
GCGAUGAGCUGGUCUAUGUAAGACGGCGGACAUUCCCUUGAGGAGCACGUUGUGGAGCGUGGUCCGUCGCGGUAGACUUUCGAGAGCACCUCUAGUGAGAGGUGCUC